rnacentral:rRNA from 1 species
ACGUACACUCCUGCGGGAGGCAGCAGUGGGGAAUAUUGCACAAUGGGCGCAAGCCUGAUGCAGCGACGCCGCGUGGGGGAUGAAGGCCUUCGGGUUGUAAACUCCUUUCGCUAGGGACGAAGCUUUUUUGUGACGGUACCUAGAUAAGAAGCACCGGCUAACUACGUGCCAGCAGCCGCGGUAAUACGUAGGGUGCGAGCGUUGUCCGGAAUUACUGGGCGUAAAGGGCUCGUAGGUGGUUUGUCGCGUCGUCUGUGAAAUUCUGGGGCUUAACUCCGGGCGUGCAGGCGAUACGGGCAUAACUUGAGUGCUGUAGGGGUAACUGGAAUUCCUGGUGUAGCGGUGAAAUGCGCAGAUAUCAGGAGGAACACCGAUGGCGAAGGCAGGUUACUGGGCAGUUACUGACGCUGAGGAGCGAAAGCAUGGGUAGCGAACAGGAUUAGAAACCCCGGUAGUCCCAUG